rnacentral:rRNA from 1 species
CCUACGGGGGGCAGCAGUGGGGAAUAUUGGACAAUGGGGGAAACCCUGAUCCAGCAAUGCCGCGUGUGUGAAGAAGGCCUGCGGGUUGUAAAGCACUUUUGGCAGGGAAGAAAAGCACUGGCCUAAUACACCAGUGUGUUGACGUAACCUGCAGAAGAAGCACCGGCUAACUCUGUGCCAGCAGCCGCGGUAAUACAGAGGGUGCAAGCGUUAAUCGGAAUUACUGGGCGUAAAGGGCGCGUAGGCGGUCAGGUCAGUCGGAUGUGAAAUCCCCG